AUUGAACGCUAGCGGAAUGCUUUACACAUGCAAGUCGAACGGCAGCACGGGGGCAACCCUGGUGGCGAGUGGCGAACGGGUGAGUAAUACAUCGGAACGUGCCCGGUCGUGGGGGAUAACGUAGCGAAAGUUACGCUAAUACCGCAUACGAUCUGAGGAUGAAAGCGGGGGACCUUCGGGCCUCGCGCGAUCGGAGCGGCCGAUGUCAGAUUAGGUAGUUGGUGGGGUAAAGGCCUACCAAGCCGACGAUCUGUAGCUGGUCUGAGAGGACGACCAGCCACACUGGGACUGAGACACGGCCCAGACUCCUACGGGAGGCAGCAGUGGGGAAUUUUGGACAAUGGGCGCAAGCCUGAUCCAGCCAUUCCGCGUGCAGGACGAAGGCCUUCGGGUUGUAAACUGCUUUUGUAUGGAACGAAAAGGCUCUGGCUAAUACCUGGGGCUCAUGACGGUACCGUAAGAAUAAGCACCGGCUAACUACGUG
rnacentral:rRNA from 1 species